rnacentral:rRNA from 1 species
AGAGUUUGAUCCUGGCUCAGGAUGAACGCUAGCGACAGGCUUAACACAUGCAAGUCGAGGGGCAGCGGGGUAGUGCUUGCACUACUGCCGGCGACCGGCGCACGGGUGAGUAACACGUAUGGAACCUGCCCGCAACAGGGGGAUAAGCGGAAGAAAUUCCGUCUAAUACCGCGUAACAUUCUCCGGAGGCAUCUCCGGGGAAUCAAAGAUUCAUCGGUUGCGGAUGGCCAUGCGGCGCAUUAGCUAGUCGGCGGGGUAACGGCCCACCGAGGCGACGAUGCGUAGGGGUUCUGAGAGGAAGGUCCCCCACACUGGUACUGAGACACGGACCAGACUCCUACGGGAGGCAGCAGUGAGGAAUAUUGGUCAAUGGCCGAGAGGCUGAACCAGCCAAGUCGCGUGAGGGAUGACGGCCCUACGGGUUGUAAACCUCUUUUGUCAGGGAGCAAGGGGCAUCACGUGUGAUGCUGUGAGAGUACCUGAAGAAAAAGCAUCGGCUAACUCCGUGCCAGCAGCCGCGGUAAUACGGAGGAUGCGAGCGUUAUCCGGAUUUAUUGGGUUUAAAGGGUGCGCAGGCGGACUCUCAAGUCAGCGGUCAAAUCGCGGGGCUCAACCCCGUUCCGCCGUUGAAACUGGGAGCCUUGAGUGCGCGAGAAGUAGGCGGAAUGCGUGGUGUAGCGGUGAAAUGCAUAGAUAUCACGCAGAACUCCGAUUGCGAAGGCAGCCUACCGGCGCGCAACUGACGCUCAUGCACGAAAGCGUGGGUAUCGAACAGGAUUAGAUACCCUGGUAGUCCACGCAGUAAACGAUGAACACUAACUGUCCGGCCCGAUAGGGGGGUGGGUGGUACAGCGAAAAAGAUAAAGUUUUCCACCUGGGGGAGUAACGCCCGGCAACGGUGAGAAUUCAAAAGAAUAGACGGGGGCCCGCACAAGCGGAGGGAACAAGUGGUUUAAUUUGAUGAUACGCGAGGAACCUUACCCGGGCUCAAACGACGGAUGAAUGUUUUUGAAAGGAGGCAGCCCUUCGGGGCAUCCGUCGAGGUGCUGCAUGGUUGUCGUCAGCUCGUGCCGUGAGGUGUCGGCUUAAGUGCCAUAACGAGCGCAACCCCCAUCGCCAGUUGCCAUCAGGUAAAGCUGGGCACUCUGGCGAGACUGCCGGCGCAAGCUGUGAGGAAGGCGGGGAGGACGUCAAAUCAGCACGGCCCUUACGUCCGGGGCGACACACGUGUUACAAUGGCAGGUACAGAGAGAAGCCAGGCGGCGACGCCGAGCGGAACCCGAAAGCCUGUCUCAGUUCGGAUCGGAGUCUGCAACCCGACUCCGUGAAGCUGGAUUCGCUAGUAAUCGCGCAUCAGCCAUGGCGCGGUGAAUACGUUCCCGGGCCUUGCACUCACCGCCCGUCA